rnacentral:rRNA from 1 species
UACGGGAGGCAGCAGUGGGGAAUAUUGCACAAUGGGCGCAAGCCUGAUGCAGCCAUGCCGCGUGUAUGAAGAAGGCCUUCGGGUUGUAAAGUACUUUCAGUCGUGAGGAAGGUGUUAAGGUUAAUAACCUUAGCAAUUGACGUUAGCGACAGAAGAAGCACCGGCUAACUCCGUGCCAGCAGCCGCGGUAAUACGGAGGGUGCGAGCGUUAAUCGGAAUUACUGGGCGUAAAGGGCACGCAGGCGGUUAAUUAAGUUGGAUGUGAAAUCCCCGGGCUUAACCUGGGAAUGGCAUUCAAGACUGGUUAGCUAGAGUCUUGUAGAGGGGGUAGAAUUCCAUGUGUAGCGGUGAAAUGCGUAGAGAUGUGGAGGAAUACCGGUGGCGAAGCGGCCCCUGGACAAAGACUGACGCUCAUGUGCGAAAGCGUGGGGAGCAAACAGGGAUUAGAUACC